CACGUGGACAAUCUGCCCCCCGGCCCGGGAUAGCCCAGGGGAAACCUGGGAUUAAUACCGGAUGAGACGGGACCCGCGAUGGCGGGAUCCGGGAAAGGCGCUGCGGCGCCGCCGGGGGAUGANUCUGCGUCCCAUUAGCUAGACGGCGGGGUAACGGCCCACCGUGGCGACGAUGGGUAGCCGGCCUGAGAGGGUGGACGGCCACAUUGGAACUGAGACACGGUCCAGACUCCUACGGGAGGCAGCAGCUAAGAAUCUUCCGCAAUGGGCGAAAGCCUGACGGAGCGACGCCGCGUGAACGAAGAAGGCCGUGAGGUUGUAAAGUUCUUUUCGGGA
rnacentral:rRNA from 1 species